UUAUUUGUUUAUUUAUUUUUUAAUUUAAAGCUUAUUUUUCUCAUAAGAAAUAAUUGAUGAUUAGUUAAUGAUAUUUAUGGGAACUUUUGUGGCUUAAUUGAAAUGGAUGUUUGCUCCGUUGGGUUAUGUUACAUGACUUGCAACGGUGGCGCGUGGCCAAGACGCGCCGCAGUUCUUGAUCCGUUAAGAUUGGAGGGAACAACGAGAGAGUGAUGUCGGUGGCUGCCAGCCAAUUAAUAAUAGUGAACUAAUCCAAUCGAGUUGGUUUAUGAACUUGGGUUGCGACUUGCAAUGUUGGUUCAAACUCUAAUUAUGAUCGAAAAUUGGCAGGUGACAAAGCGCGUGGACACGG
rnacentral:misc_RNA from 1 species